GAUGAACGCUGGCGGCGUGCCUAAUACAUGCCAGUCGAGCGAACAGACGAGGAGCUUGCUCCUCUGACGUUAGCGGCGGACGGGUGAGUAACACGUGGAUAACCUACCUAUAAGACUGGGAUAACUUCGGGAAACCGGAGCUAAUACCGGAUAAUAUAUUGAACCGCAUGGUUCAAUAGUGAAAGACGGUUUUGCUGUCACUUAUAGAUGGAUCCGCGCCGCAUUAGCUAGUUGGUAAGGUAACGGCUUACCAAGGCAACGAUGCGUAGCCGACCUGAGAGGGUGAUCGGCCACAGUGGAACUGAGACACGGUCCAGACUCCUACGGGAGGCAGCAGUAGGGAAUCUUCCGCAAUGGGCGAAAGCCUGACGGAGCAACGCCGCGUGAGUGAUGAAGGUCUUCGGAUCGUAAAACUCUGUUAUUAGGGAAGAACAAAUGUGUAAGUAACUAUGCACGUCUUGACGGUACCUAAUCAGAAAGCCACGGCUAACUACGUG
rnacentral:rRNA from 1 species